GAUGAACGCUGGCGGCGUGCCUAAUACAUGCAAGUCGAGCGAACAGAUGAGGAGCUUGCUCCUCUGACGUUAGCGGCGGACGGGUGAGUAACACGUGGAUAACCUACCUAUAAGACUGGGAUAACUUCGGGAAACCGGAGCUAAUACCGGAUAAUAUAUUGAACCGCAUGGUUCAAUAGUUAAAGACGGUUUUGCUGUCACUUAUAGAUGGAUCCGCGCCGCAUUCGCUAGUUGGUAAGGUAACGGCUUACCAAGGCAACGAUGCGUAGCCGACCUGAGAGGGGGAUCGGCCACGCUGGAACUGAGACACGGUCCAGACUCCUACGGGAGGCAGCAGUAGGGAAUCUUCCGCAAUGGGCGAAAGCCUGACGGAGCAACGCCGCGUGAGUGAUGAAGGUCUUCGGAUCGUAAAACUCUGUUAUUAGGGAAGAACAAAUGUGUAAGUAACUAUGCACGUCUUGACGGUACCUAAUCAGAAAGCCACGGCUAACUACGUG
rnacentral:rRNA from 1 species